UACGGGGGGAGCAAGCGUUGUUCGGAUUUACUGGGCGUAAAGGGCGCGUAGGCGGCACCGCAAGUCGCCUGUGAAAUCUCCGGGCUUAACUCGGAAAGGUCAGCCGAUACUGCGGGGCUAGAGUGCAGAAGGGGCAACUGGAAUUCUCGGUGUAGCGGUGAAAUGCGUAGAUAUCGAGAGGAACACCUGCGGCGAAGGCGGGUUGCUGGGCUGACACUGACGCUGAUGCGCGAAAGCUAGGGGAGCGAACGGG
rnacentral:rRNA from 1 species